AUUGAACGCUGGCGGCAGGCCUAACACAUGCAAGUCGAGCGGAGCGGGGGACGGGUGAGUAAUGCCUAGGAGUAUGACUGGUCGUGGGGGCUGAGGUCAGGAAACGGGAGCUAAGACCGCACACUAUCAGAUGAGCCUAGGUCGGGUUGGCUCGUUGGUGGGGUAAGGGCCUACCAAGGCGACGAACCGUAACUGGUCUGAGAGGAGGAUCAGUCAAACUGGAACUGAGACACGGUCCCGACUCCUACGGGAGGCAGCAGUGGGGAAUAUUGGGCAAUGGGCGAAAGCCUGAUCCAGCCAUGCCGCGUGGGUGAAGAAGGUCUUCGGAUUGUAAAGCACUUUAAGUUGGGAGGCGUUACCAACAGAAUAAGCACCGGCUAACUUCGUGCCAGCAGCCGCGGUAAUUC
rnacentral:rRNA from 1 species